rnacentral:lncRNA from 1 species
UCAUAAAUCAUCCUUGAAGUUGCCUGAUAGCUGAUGCUGUUUUAUAAGUAGAAGAGACCAGGUUGAAAAAGUGUUGUUCAACAUUAGUUGAAGGAAACAAAGCGGAAAGCCUAGAAGGAAAAGAAGAUAUUGAUUGAUCUACAUGACCAGCCUAGUUGCCGUAAAAGAAGAAUCCACCAAAGGGAGUGAUUUAAGAUCCACUGCAGGUGUGUUAGCAGCACUGCUUCUGUAACAAAAGAC